rnacentral:lncRNA from 1 species
GCAAUAUAUAAAUUUUCUUGCAUAUAAAAACUGAAAAUAGCACUCAGUUAAUUAUAGUUAUCACCAUGUAGUUCGGUUUUUUCUCUUGAUUGAAGAAUUACCAUCACAGGAAGUAGCUGCUCUGCAGUGAAUAGUAAGCUGCAAUGGGAUUGGACAAAGGAAUUUUAUAAAGGUUGUGACAUGUGACAGAGCUUCAAUAAGCAAAAUGCAUGUUAUUUAAAAAAUGUUGAGGUGCAUUCACACUGUGCGACAGGUACUGAAACUGUGCCAAAAAAUGUGACGUGUGAUGUAGUUAUGUUAUUUCAUAGAUAAAUACAUCGAAAAUGUCAAUCUUCUAAACAGAGCUAUUCCUUCCUGAGACAUGAAAUACUCCUGUACUUAUAUCAGGCUGGUUUUCAAUGUUCAAAUCAGGCACAAACAAGGCUGUUAAUUUACAAUUGAUAUGCCAUCAAAAUCUUCCAAGCCUCAUCUCCAUCUUUAAGAGUUCAAACAUCAAAUUACGGUGAAUAGAACAUUCUUUAGAUCAAAUCAAUGUUAAGCAUUUUGUCUGAUUACUGAUUACUCGAAAAGGGUUUAAGUCUUUAGACAAGAAAACCAAUUUGCUUUGAAAAUUGGUGUGAAGCCAAAUCCAAAUUCAGGUUAUCUAUAUCAAUAUCUAAUGAUGAGCCAAAGGGUUAUCCUCAAACAAAUUUCUAAAAUUCUGCAUUGUAAUUACUAGCUUUUGUGAAAUAAAAAAAAUAAUUCUAUUGCAAAUUAAUCCUUCAGGGCUUGUGUUAAUUAUAUUAUUUUUUCUCCAUUUAUUAAUAUAUAUAUAUAUGCAAAUGAGACAGCAACCCAAAAGUUAACAGUUUCCACAACAAUAUACAAGAGUUGAAGAUGAAGUAACAGAAAUAGGCUUGGUUUAAGUGUCACAGUUUGUCUCAGGAAGGAAACCUAUGCUCCUCACUGUUUGACAGAUUGCUAGUGUGUUAAAAUUUAAGUGCAGUAUUUUCUAAAAUUUAUAUGAAUAGCUUUAAGCAAGUGUUUGUAUCAAUCAAAAUUGCACCCUCUAUCAAUUAAAAAAAAACUUGUCAACCAAAAUAAGGCAUAUAUUAAUUAUGAUAAUUUCCAACUUCAGAAAUACAUAUCCAUGAUAUCCAGUAAACAAAAAUUCAAAAUUGAUAAUAAUUUUCUUGACAAGUAGAAAUACUCUUAAGAAUUUACUGCUGUUUGAUAAUUUUUCAAAUAAAUAUAUUUUAAGAAUUUACUGCACUUGACCCUGGAAUGUUGUGAUGAUUGAGUGUACCAAGAUGUUUUUUUACCUCAACAAAUUUGUGAUUUUAAUAGUUUUUAUAAUGUUUCUAUUUUAGUUAUAUAAAUUUUUUAACGAAAUGUUCUUAUGCGAUAGUUUUCUAAACCUAUCUUCUGUCUAAUUAUGUAUGCAGAUCAUUACUUUAUAAAACUGUACCUUAUUUUGUUACUAAUAAGCUGUAAACAUGGUAAAGUGUAGUUUUGUGUAAAAUUAUGUUUCAAAUUUUUUGUUGCCUCUAAAAGAAUAUGUCACAAGGUUUGAAAGGGAAGGAAGCAUAAGCAGUAUUAAAAGGUCAUCUUUCAAGUUCUCUUAAACGGAAUUGUGUCUGAAAACAAUUAUGAUAAAACCCUUUUAGUCCUUAGAGGAAUUUUGAGAUGACCCUUUUAAUAUUACAUUGAUGUUUUGUGAUUACAUUCAAUUUAUCCUGGGAAUUGUACAAAUUGUGCCACAAUUAAUUAUGAAUUCUCCAUAUCCGAACGGAAUAACAUUUUUAAUAUGUGAAAAUAUUCCCAAUUUUUUCCUUAUUUAAAUUGUUUUUAAUGAAAUCAUGGUGUGAAUAAAUUGAUUAAUUAUGGCAUUAUUUGACAACAGAAAGUGUUAAAACCAUUGCUAAAUAUGUAAAUUACUUUUCUAUGAUGGUGCCUUAUGUACUGAUUGUAAAAUUCUUAAAUUAUAUUCAUCAAUCAUUUAUGUGGUGUCUUUGUCAUAUUUGUUUGUAAACAAAUGAUGUGUGUAAACAGAAUGGCUUACAAAUUAAUGGGCAAAAAUAUAUCAGCAUUGUUUAGGCUUAGUUGAAAUGUCCAACUAAUCUAUAGAAUUAUCCUUGUCAAAGGAAAACAAAAUCUUGUUUGUAUAGAUACUAUUUUUGUAGCUUUUAAACAGAAACAUUAGAGUUAAAAUGAAGACCUAUUUAAAAAUUCCUUAUGAACUUCUCAAAAAUAUUGCCCAUCAAGAAUGAACUUUUUUAUCAGUUUAAUGAUAACCUUAAGAGACAUAUCUGUAUAGAGUUAAGUAGUUCAAACAAAUAAGCUUCUAUAUAACUUAGAUUCAAGCUUCAUUGCAACAUAGAUCAAAGCUUUGCCAUACAUAGAUCCCAGCUUCCUCUGUAAACGUAACAUUUUAUAACAUAUGAAAUUAUCAUGGGUUGUUUUUAUUAACUUUGUAUAUAAUAUUAUCUUAUGAAAUAUUUGUUUGUAUGUUUUUAAUUUAAAGUAAGGGACUGGCUCAAUUUAAAAUAAGGGACUGUCUCAAACUAAAAUAAGGGACUGUUUCAAACUAAGGAGAGAAAGACAUUCUUUGAUAUGUUUCAUGCAAUUGUAUGCAGGACAAUAUGAAAGAAUAGUUUUCCUUACCAUGUUCAAUGUUUUAGUGUACAAGACCCAAUAGAAAUAGUUUCAUAUCAAAAUACAGAAAUAUUAUCAGAAUUUUUUUUUCAAGAAAAAAAUAUUCUUUGAUGUCAGUUUAAUAUUAGAAUUAAGAUUUUUUCAUACAAAACAUUUUGUGACUUAAAGUUCGUUUGAAAUAUCUCGUAAAUGUGAACACAUCUUAUAAAUAUUAAACACGAACCUGUAAUAUUUGUAAAAGGUACAUUCAUAAAUUGAAAUUGAAAUCCUUAGACUUGUUGUUUUUUUUGCAAUAAUUAAAAUUGUUGAAUCAAUUAGAAAUGAAAUUGAAACUGUUCUGUUAGAUUUCAAACAUCAUGUACAUGUAAAUAUAAUAUCUCAAAAUCAGCAAAGACUAUUUCUAUUGCUGUCAAGUUUCUAUAUGUAUGGAGAGCAGUUUAAGACAUCUAUUUUCUAUAAGUGUAUGGAGAGCAGUUUAAGACAUCUAUUUUCUAUAUGUAUGGAGAGCAGUUUAAGACAUCGAUUUUCUAUAUGUAUGAAGAGCAGUUUAAGAAAUCUAUUUUCAUGAACUUUUAAGGAGAGGAUAACACUGCUUUGUUAAGAAAGAUGAUAUUUCGAAAAAAUAUACUUUGACCUAUUGAGACAGUCCCUAGUUUUAUGAUUUUUUAAGAGUCCUUUUAAAAUGGCAUCCACAAAAUACCUCAAACUUGAAAAAAUAUAUUGUUCUAACUUUUGUGUUAACUUUUUGUUUUCUGAAGGAGUGCACAAGGUCACAAUGUAAAAUUAGUCUUGUUUUUGUCAGAGUUUAAGUAACUUCCAAGAAUGGUCCAAAAAAAUAUAGAUAUUUUGACUUUAAGUAGCAGUGAAUUUAUGAUAGGACCACAAUUACAAGAUGAAGUAAAAUAUAAACUUGAUUUCUGAGUCUGGCAUCCAUGCUUUAUAAAAAAAAUCUGACACUGUUCUUCAGGAACCACACAUGUUUGGCAGGAAUCCUAUAGCUAACUUUAUGGAAUAUUUAUGAUUUUACAUUUAACAAGUGCAUGAAGUCUUAAAACAAAUGUAAUAAAAAGUUCAUGAAGACUUGAUUGAGUAUAAAACAUAUUGACAGAUAAAAUUUAUUUGCCAAUAUUAAUUUUUUCUUUAAACAUUAAUUAGCAUAUGAAUUAUAUUUUUUCUUCCUUCGUUUAGUUUCGAUUAUAUUCCAGAGAAAAUUAUUUUUAGUAUAUUUAAAAAAAAAAUGUUUGGACUUUUUAUAGGAAUAGAAGUUUUAUUUUGUUUAUUUUGAAGGAAGGCUUUAUUUUGGUAUGCAUACAAUACGAAUUAACUGUGUGGCUCUCUAUUUAUUAUCAAAUAUAAUUGAUUUUCAUCAAAAUUCACUUUCAAAAUUAAGGCAAACGCAGAAACAAAAAAGUUGAAAUCUGGAUAUGCUGUUCCUGAGGACUUUUAUUUAUCAGUUCUUCAACAAAGUUUAGUUUGCUACUAGAAAAUUAAAUAUUGGUUUCAACUUUUAGUUUUCGCUACAGACAAUCAUUAUUGAUUUACUAAAUAAACAAUAAAUUAUUGGCUCUAUUAAAAAGCUUUUUUCUUUUCUUAAUUUUAUACAUUUAAAAUACUUUUUUCCUAUAUAUAAAGCAAUUCUAUUUUAAGAAUUGAUUGUUGAAUUAUUUUUUAAACUUUGUCAAGUUAACUGCAAAAAUGAGAAGAAAAAAACCUUGAUUUGAAUCACCCCUUGCAAAUUAAGUAUAGUCUAUAGAUGGAGAUUUUUUUCGAAUUAUGUGAAAUUUUAGCAUACUAAGCUGGAAGAUUUACAUUGCAAGCACCUUAAGUGUGAAUUGGCCGAGACAUUUCGUUCCGGUAACUUUCGUACUUGUAGAACUUUUUGGUUUAAUUCAGGGUAAAAUACUUCAAAGCUUGAACACAGCUGGGGAACAGGAGAUGGAGCAAACUUGAUAAAUUUUGAGUUUUAAAAAUUUCAAAUAAUGGUGGAACACCCCUUACAUGCAUGUUUAAAUUUUCAGUUAGGGGUGGGCCAAAAUACUUGAUUGAAAAGUAUUAUGUUUCUGAAAGAUGUUUAAACAUACUGAAGUCUGUUUGCAAAUCAUUUGUUUUACUACAGGUCAGCUAUCUCCCCUUAUAUAUAUUACAGGUGAGUUAUCUCCCCUUAUGUAUAACAGCUUAGUUAUCUCCCCUUAUACAUUUCAGAUUAGUUAUCUCCCCUUAUGUGUGAUAGUGACAUAACCAGUUGGAAACCGUGAUAAAUGAUUGUUUAUUUUCUUGUUUGUUUAUGUUUGUUUUACAUUUUAUGUCUCUUUUAUUGCUGAUAAUGUAAACAAAAGUGUUUAUGUGAAAAUAUAUAAUUACAUUGUUAAUCACUAUGAAAUUUGUACAUAGAAAUAGCAUUAUUUUUGCUACGUCCAUAAUACUAUUAUUAUAUAAAUAUAUAUAUAAAGUUUCAAAUUAUAAGCAUUUUAAGGAAAUUUUAUGAAUUGUUACAAGGAUGUUGAUGGUGUUAAUUCAAAUAUCAACAUUUUCAUAAAUUAUGUUUAAAAAAAUAUAUUGUAUAAUAUACCAAUUUCAUUGGAAAAUUAAGAUACGCCCUUGUCCUUGUUUUAUUAGACAUUUUAGAAAUUUUAAUACUGUUUUAAAGAAUAUCAAAUAAGCACAAAAUGAAGAAAUCGAUAGUUACUUUUAUAGUUUUAUAUUGUAAAUUUAUACCUACAGAAAGGGCAUUAAUUGAUAUGAUAUGAAACCAAAAUAUUAAUUCUUGUAAUUUGAAAAUCAUUUUGAAUAAAUUAUAGAUUGCACUAUAACAGAACAAUUAAUGAUUUUCCUUGAAUGCUCAUAAACGAAUAUAAUUUGAUAUAUAUAGAGAGAAUAUACCCUGUAUACUUGUAAAUAGAUUGUUUGUUUCAGUGCAUCAUGUGACUAUGUCUGCCUUUUCUUAUUGGGCAGUACACACAUCACAUGACUAUGUCUGCCUCUUCUUAUUGGGCAGUACACACAUCAUGUGACUAUGUCUGCCUCUUCUUAUUGGGCAGUACACACAGCCAAAAUUUAUAUCUCUACUCAUGUCUAAUUCAUUUUUUAUUGAAUAAAGAAGUUCUGAUUAGAAAUUUUACUAUAAACAAUAUAGUCAAUAGGAGCGAAACAAGAUAACCUUCCUCUAAGUUUUAUAAAAAAAAAAUUUAUUGGUUUGAAGAUGCAUCAUUUCUUUAAAGAAAAUUCAAAAUAAUAAAAAAUACAGAGAAAUAAAAUGAAAACAAAAUUGACAAAAAUCCCUAAAUAUGUGUGUUUGAAUACUGAUAUUAAUAUCGAAGUUUCAGGUUCAUUUAUUAUGAAUUGUAUUGAAUCCAGUGAAUUUUUAACAAAAUUAUGGUACAAAUAUUUACCAUACUAUUUUUUUAUGAACUUGAAUCCCUGUUCUUAUUUUGCUCAAAAGUCAUUUCAAGACACCUCGUAGUGAUCUGCUCGUAAAAUCUAAAUAUGAUGAUAACGAUGUUAAAUCUUCUAGAAGAAAACAGUACAUAACAAGAUAUGAGUCAUUGAUGUAUUUUAAUUAUUCAUUUAUUUUUUUAUAUUAUUAUAAAUUGAGUUUGCGUUUAUUCAUUUCUUGCACUUUAAAAAGGACAUGUUUUUUUCAUUAAUGAAAACAUGAUGUUUGUUUUCGGCACUUCAUCCUUUCGCAUCUUAAAACUGAAAUCUAGUCAGGGCUUUUAUGUUGGCUGUCCCUUUUAACCCCCCUUUUUAAAUAGACUUUUGUUGAUAGAAGAUAUAGACUUAUUAAUAGUAUGUUGGUGAAAGGUCAUAGAUAUUUAUUUUAUGUGUAAUCCAGAUAUUAUGAUAACAAAACUUAAUCUAAGGAAAUAUGGCAACUUUUUUUUACCCAUUUGAUAUUCAAAAUUGAUAAAAUUUUAUUCAGGUUGAUACCAUUAGGCCUACACAACAUCUAAUGUGACAAAAUUAUUAAUGUUCCUUCAAAAAUGGGAUAUAUUUUGGAAUCAUUUUGGAAAAAUCAGGUAAGAGCAAGCUAUUGCACAUGUUGCAGAAUAAAAAACUACACAAUAAUUUCCUCUGACACCCUGUGAUAUAAAUCACAUACAUCAGCUUAAGAAGCUUUUUGGAAUACUUUUGUCAGAAAUUUCUGAAGACUCACUAGUGGUAUUUGGGAAAGCCUUGUCAAGAUUAUCUAAAAUAUAAAAUGUGGAACAUUUGUCUGAACUCUUGAAAUUUUCCAUCAAAUAUCAUUAGGAAAUCAUAUCAGAAAUCUCUGAAACUUUAAAAUUAAAUAACAUAGGGAAACCAAUUUAAGAUAUUCCAGAUACCUUGGUAAAUGGAUACCCAGCUUAUACUACAUCAGUAAUUUUCUGGUUAAAUGUUUUGAUGAUAUCUGGAUUAGACAUAAAGUACUUCAUUUAUGUUCACUGUAAGCCAACUAUGAAGCUUUUUUCCUUUUGCUACAGCCUAGCAUUUGUUUCUUUUAACACAGAUUUUACUGUAAUGUUUGGAUUAUAUGGUAACUACCAAAAAACUGUAAACACAGAAUAAAGUCAUGUAUCAUCAGUUGUAAAAAUAGGGGUUGAUUAACAAAAUUUGAGCAAGGGUUACUUACCUUUUGUUGCCAUAUGUGCAGAAAUACUUUUUUAAAUCCGCCAAAUUCAAGUUGUUAUACAGCCCUCUAAAAUGUAAACAUGUUGUUUUCUGAACAAUUUUUAUUUCUAUAGCCUUGCUUAAUCAAUGACUGCGAUUUAGUAUGGAUCUCUAUCAAAUGUUUUUGUACAGCAUAUUUCACUUUGGCGAGUAAAAAAAGAAUCCAAAAUGGCAGCGAAGGGAAGUAACUUUGACUCAAAUUAGGUCACAAACCUAUCUUUACAUUUAUUAUUUUAAACAUCAGCAUCCAAGGAUGAAACAUAUUGCUUAUGAAGCACUUGUAGUUUUAUCCAUAAAAAAGAGUUCAUGUGUGUGAAGUAAUUAAUGAAAAAGUAUAACAGAUAAGAACGACAACUUUAUAUCCUUAUAAAAAAAGGUUAUUUCAAAGAUUGUUUAUGUAAACUACACAUAAUUUAAAUUUCUGAAUUAUUUCAAGACAUUCAAAUUACAGAUACAUGUACUUGAACUUCUUUCAGGACAGAAAAACAGUUUGACUAGUUACAUAAUAAAAUGCAGCAUAACUUGCAUUUUAGUUAUUUCCGAAGGAGUUACCAUAGAAACCAGUCAUAUGUUGUUGUUUGUUUGUACAUAAUGAUUUAAAUUUUUAUACAUAAUGUAUUAAUUAAUCCCAAAAGUGGGUGUUGGGCUGUAUAGGAAAAUAUUUUCUUUCAGAAAAAAUACCAGUUGAAAAUAAACUUAAAUCAUUAUUAUAUAAACAUGUGUAUUUGUUUUAAUUAAAUAUUGCCUUAUUUCUCUGUAGUGCUGAAGAUUUAAGUGGCUGAAUGCAGUUGCAGCUAUCUAACAUUAAUCCCUGAAAACAAAAAACAUACAAGCAACAGUAGUAUACCAUUGUAACAAAUCCGGGUUACAAACUAAAACUGAGUGAAACACAUCAACUAAAUGUAUAAGAGAAAAACAAAGAAACAAAAGAAACACUGAAGUGCAACAAAAACCAAACGACAAUGCAACACACACAAAAAUAUAUAUAAGAUAACAACUGCCAUUUUCUUGACUUGGUACAGGACAUUUUAAGAAAAAAAAUGGUAGGUUGAACCUGGUUUUGUGGCUAGCCAAAC